UAGGGAAUCUUCCGCAAUGGACGAAAGUCUGACGGAGCAACGCCGCGUGAGUGAAGAAGGAUUUCGGUUCGUAAAACUCUGUUGUUAGGGAAGAAAAAAUGUAUAGUAACUAUAUACAAAAGAGACGGUACCUAACCAGAAAGCCACGGCUAACUACGUGCCAGCAGCCGCGGUAAUACGUAGGUGGCAAGCGUUGUCCGGAAUUAUUGGGCGUAAAGCGCGCGCAGGUGGUUUAGAAAGUCUGAUGUGAAAGCCCACGGCUCAACCGUGGAGGGUCAUUGGAAACUAGUAAACUUGAGUGCAGGAGAGAAAAGUGGAAUUCCUAGUGUAGCGGUGAAAUGCGUAGAGAUUAGGAGGAACACCGGUGGCGAAAGCGGCUUUUUGGCCUGCAACUGACACUGAGGCGCGAAAGCGUGGGGAGCAAACAGGAUUAGAUACCCUGGUAGUCCACGCCGUAAACGAUGAGUGCUAAGUGUUGGAGUCAAAAGACUUCAGUGCUGCAGCAAACGCAUUAAGCACUCCGCCUGGGGAGUACGAUCGCAAGAUUG
rnacentral:rRNA from 1 species